ACGACUCUCGGCAACGGAUAUCUCGGCUCUCGCAUCGAUGAAGAACGUAGCGAAAUGCGAUACUUGGUGUGAAUUGCAGAAUCCCGUGAACCAUCGAGUCUUUGAACGCAAGUUGCGCCCAAAGCCGUCAGGCCGAGGGCACGUCUGCCUGGGCGUCACG
rnacentral:rRNA from 5 species